GGUUCGAUUCUGGCUCAGAUUGAACGCUGGCGGAUGCUUUACACAUGCAAGUCGAACGCGGCAGCACGGACUUCGGUCUGGUGGCGAGUGGCGAACGGGUGAGUAAUGUAUCGGAACGUGCCUGUGUAGCGGGGGAUAACUACGCGAAAGCGUAGCUAAUACCGCAUACGCCCUUCGGGGGAAAGCGGGGACCUCGGGCCUCGCACUAUUAGAGCGCCGAUAUCGGAUUUUCACGGUUGGUGGGGUAACGGCUCUCACCAAGGCGACGAUCCGUAGCUGGUUUGAGAGGACGACCAGCCACACUGGGACUGGAGACACGGCCCAGACCCCUACGGGAGGCAGCAGUGGGGAAUUUUGGACAAUGGGGGAAACCCCGGAUCCAGCCAUCCUGCGUGUGCGAUGAAGGCCUUCGGGUUGUAAAGCACUUUUGGUGUGAAGAAACGGCACGGAUAAUACCCGUGCAACUGACGGUACCUGCAGAAUAAGCACCGGCUAAUCCGCCGUGCCCGCAGCCGCGGUAAUACGUAGGGUGCAAAAGCGUUAAUCGGAAUUACUGGGCGUAAAGCGGCAGGCGGUUCGGAAAGAAAGAUGUGAAAUCCCAGAGCUUAAUCCCUUUGGAAUCCGCAUUUUUUAACUACCGAGCUUAGAGUGUGUCAGAGGGAGGUGGAAUUCCGCGGCAGUGAAAUGCAGAUAUGAGGAACACCGAUGGCGAAGGCAGCCUCCCGGGGAUAAACACUGACGCUCUCGCAACGAAAGUGUGGGGAGCAAACAGGAUUAGGAUACCCUGGUAGUCCACGCCCUAAACGAUGUCAAAUUUAGCUGUUGGGGCCUUCGGGCCUUGUAGCGCAGCUAACGCGUGAAGUUGACCGCUCAGGGAGCAUGGUCGCAAGAUUAAAACUCAAAGGAAUUGACGGGGACCCGCACAAGCGGUGGAUGAUGUGGAUUAAUUCGAUGCAAAACGCGAAAAACCUUACCUACCCUUGACAUGUCUGGAAUCCCGAAGAGAUUUGGGAGUGCUCGCAAGAGAACCGGAACACAGGUGCUGCAUGGCUGUCGUCAGCUCGUGUCGUGAGAUGUUGGGUUAAGUCCCGCAACGAGCGCAACCCUUGCCGGGCUAGUUGCUACGAAAGGGCACUCCACGAGACUGUUGCGACAAACCGGAGGAAGGUGGGGAUGACGUCAAGUCCUCAUGCGGCCCUUAUGGGUAGGGCUUCACACGUCACACAACAAUGGUCGGGACAGAGGGUCGCCAACCCGCGAGGGGAGCCAAUCCCAGAAACCCGAUCGUAGUCCGGACGCAGUCUGCAACUCGACUGCGUGAAGUCGGAAUCGCUAGUAAUCGCGGAUCAGCAUGUCGCGGUGGAAUACGUUCCCGGGUCUUGUACACACCGCCUGUCACACCAUGGGAGUGGGUUUUUAUCAAGAAGUGGCUAGUCAACUGCAAGAGGGCGAUUACCACGGUAGGAUUCAUGACUGGGGUGGAAGUCGUAACAAGGUAA
rnacentral:rRNA from 1 species